rnacentral:rRNA from 1 species
GAUGAACGCUGGCGGCGUGCCUAAUACAUGCAAGUCGAGCGAACAGACGAGGAGCUUGCUCCUUUGACGUUAGCGGCGGACGGGUGAGUAACACGUAGGUAACCUACCUAUAAGACUGGGAUAACUUCGGGAAACCGGAGCUAAUACCGGAUAAUAUAUUGAACCGCAUGGUUCGAUAGUGAAAGAUGGCUUUGCUAUCACUUAUAGAUGGACCUGCGCCGUAUUAGCUAGUUGGUAAGGUAACGGCUUACCAAGGCAACGAUACGUAGCCGACCUGAGAGGGUGAUCGGCCACACUGGAACUGAGACACGGUCCAGACUCCUACGGGAGGCAGCAGUAGGGAAUCUUCCGCAAUGGGCGAAAGCCUGACGGAGCAACGCCGCGUGAGUGAUGAAGGUCUUCGGAUCGUAAAACUCUGUUAUUAGGGAAGAACAAACGUGUAAGUAACUGUGCACGUCUUGACGGUACCUAAUCAGAAAGCCACGGCUAACUACGUG